rnacentral:sRNA from 1 species
UUAUCAAUAGCUCCAGCAAUCUUCUUCCUCUCAAAAUCAGCAUUCUUGGUACUGUUGCUACAAGCGAGGUUCUCUAUUAG